GGGGUUGACUGGAUUUGACAGCGGGCUGAGGUGGUAUGUAAGCAUGCGGAGUUACGGCUGUGAACUCCAUAAUCCCGUCGGUCAACAAUUUAAUUGGCGAAAAUUCUUACGCUCUCGCUGCUUAAUCGAAGUAUAGUAGAUUAACUUUAUUCCUUUGCAAGGCAUUGGAACGAGACAUCGCUCAGAGCCCAUUCCCUGAGGCUGACUGACUAAGCGGUGCUAUAAUUUCGGGGAUAGCAGAUUGUACGCCUUAUGCUUUCUGUGAAUUUUUAGAGGAUAAGGUGUCAGUUGGUGGUCCAGGUCUUGCUGACACACGAAAACCGAAGGCUGGAAUAAGCAUGUAGAAAGCAUACGAUUUCCCUGUUUGGACGAGGGUUCGACUCCCUCCAGCUCCACUA
rnacentral:tmRNA from 1 species